ACGGGUGUGGCGCAAUUGGUAGCGCAGCUGUCUCCAAAACAGCCGGUUCCAGGUUCAAGUCCUGGCACCCGUG
rnacentral:tRNA from 2 species